UAUUGUACAACUAGAAAAAUGGAAAAAAAGAAAAAUGGGAGAAACAAAAAAGGCUUCGACCAUUAAAAGCAUAGAACUACCACAGAGGAAGCCGAUCUCCAGGAUGACCUCCGAAAAAAGCAGUUUGGCGCCGAGCCACCUAGCAAUAUCUUUUAGUGGAUUUCCACACACCAUUUUGCUACUUGAACGGAUAUCAAUGAUACAAAUGAUGAACGGUGAUUUGACUUCCUGCAUUGGUUUACCAAUUAACUUUUUUUGCGCUAGUAUUUGUCGUGUGUGUGCAUGUUGGUGAAUUUAUAUGACUUUGCGUUGGCUUGCGGCCAAGUUUGCUGCAGUUGACUUGGCGAAUGUCGGACUCAUGCAGGAACUUUGAUGCGCUAGUAAAAAGACAGAGAACGAAGAAGGAUAGAAAAAGAGUGGGCAAAAAGAUAAUUGUCUAUGUGUCAAAGUGAGAGCAUUGACAAUUGCUGCUAAAUUGCUUCAAAAUAUUAAUGGCUAUAUUCUAAGGCAAUGAUUAUUAUAAUCUGUCAAUAUAAUACUUGACUCUAAAUCUCUGAAGCAACAACAACUACUAAGAAAUGUAAUGC